rnacentral:lncRNA from 1 species
UUUUGUGUUUGACUUUUAGUUGUAGGUCAAUUUAAAAAAUGGGAGGUUAGUUUUGUGUUUGACUUUUAGUUGUAGGUCAAUUUUGCAAAAAGCCCAACAAUGUAACAUGUAACAUGUAAUCUGAAACUGAUAUGUAUUUGUUUCCAAAAAAACUCAAUAAUAAUAUUAGUUUAAAAACAGCCGAACUAAUCCAAAAUAUUUAUACAUCCUUCAUUUACAAAUAUAUACCACCAUAAAAAGUAAUGCAAUAUUGAAUUAUAUUUUUUAAAAAUAAAUUUAAGACGAAUAUGAAUGUUUAAAAAUAUAUAUAAUCUUAUAGGUUUAGAUACAAAAUAUAAUAUUAAAUUUAGAUCCGUGAUAGAUGGUAUAUAU